UUAAUUUCGUUCUCCUGCUUUUUAACUUUUUGUUGUUUCUAUUUAUAUCUUAUUGUACUGACUAUUCUUGAAAAGUUGGGCUUAGGGAGCCCGUCCGGCCAUGGUGGCCGCGGGUGGUGGUUGGCGCGGCUGCGCUGCGGCGCGGGGCAGUGCGGAGCCGGGACAGUCGCGGCGCUGACGCCCGCGAGCCCCAGCUGCAGAUAUGAAGCGGAGCCGCUGCCGCGACCGACCGCAGCCGCCGCCGCCCGACCGCCGGGAGGAUGGAGUUCAGCGGGCAGCGGAGCUGUCUCAGUCUUUGCCGCCGCGCCGGCGAGCGCCGCCCGGGAGGCAGCGGCUGGAGGAGCGGACGGCCCCGCGGGGCCCGAGGGCAAGGAGCAGCCGCCUGCCUUGGCCUCCCAAAGUGCCGAGAUUGCAGCCUCUGCCCGGCCGCCACCCCGUCUGGGAAGUGAGGAGCGUCUCUGCCUGGCCGCCCAUCGUCUGGGAUGUGAGGAGCCCCUCUGCCUGGCUGCCCAGUCUGGAAAGUGAGGAGUGUCUCCGCCCGGCCGCCAUCCCAUCUAGGAAGUGAGGAGCACCUCUUCCCAGCCGCCAUCACAUCUAGGAAGUGAGGAGCGUCUCUGCCCGGCCGCCCAUCGUCUGAGAUGUGGGGAGCGCCUCUGCCCCGCCGCCCCAUCUGGGAUGUGAGGAGCGCCUCUGCCCGGCCGAGACCCCGUCUGGGAGGUGAGGAGCGUCUCUGCCCGGCCGCCCCGUCUGAGAAGUGAGGAGACCCUCUGCCUGGCAACCACCCCGUCUGAGAAGUGAGGAGCCCCUCCGCCCGGCAGCCACUCCAUCUGGGAAGUGAGGAGCGUCUCCGCCCGGCAGCCACCCCGUCCGGGAGGGAGGUGGGGGGGGGGUCAGCCCCCCGCCCGGCCAGCCGCCCCAUCCGGGAGGGAGGUGGGGGGGUCAGCCCCCCGCCCGGCCAGCCGCGCCGUCCGGGAGGGAGGUGGGGGGGUCAGCCCCCCGCCUGGCCAGCCGUGCCGUCCGGGAGGAAGUGGGGGGGUCAGCCCUCCGCCCGGCCAGUCGCCCCGUCUGGGAGGUGAGGGGCGCCUCUGCCCGGCCGCCCCUACUGGGAAGUGAGGAGCCCCUCUGCCCGGCCAGCCGCCCCGUCCGGGAGGGAGGUUGGGGGGUCAGCCCCCCGCCCGGCCAGCCGCCCCGUCCGGGAGGUGAGGGGCGCCUCUGCCCCGCCGCCCCUCCUGGGAAGUGAGGAACCCCUCUGCCGGGCCACCACCCCGUCUGGGAGGUGUGCCCAACAGCUCAUUGAGAACGGGCCAGGAUGACAAUGGUGGCUUUGUGGAAUAGAAAGGCGGGAAAGGUGGGGAAAAGAUUGAGAAAUCGGAUGGUUGCCGUGUCUGUGUAGAAAGAAGUAGACAUGGGAGACUUUUCAUUUUGUUCUGCACUAAGAAAAAUUCCUCUGCCUUGGGAUCCUGUUGAUCUGUGACCUUACCCCCAACCCUGUGCUCUCUGAAACAUGUGCUGUGUCCACUCAGGGUUAAAUGGAUUAAGGGCGGUGCAAGAUGUGCUUUGUUAAACACAUGCUUGAAGGCAGCAUGCUCGUUAAGAGUCAUCACCAAUCCCUAAUCUCAAGUAAUCAGGGACACAAACACUGCGGAAGGCCGCAGGGUCCUCUGCCUAGGAAAACCAGAGACCUUUGUUCACUUGUUUAUCUGCUGACCUUCCCUCCACUAUUGUCCCAUGACCCUGCCAAAUCCCCCUCUGUGAGAAACACCCAAG
rnacentral:lncRNA from 1 species